CUUUCCCUUUCCCCUUUUAUUUUUUCUAAAAAAAGGGAAACACGGAAGAGAAGCGAAUCUUUUCCACCUCCACUGGGCAAAAAAAAUUAAAAAAAUAAAUAAAAUUCCCCAUUCCCCCGAACAGAUUGAUUCGCUUCGAUUCGAGGGAGGAGGGGAGCACAGCGAUUUCUUCUCUCUCUUUCGCCGUCGCAUUCGCCUCGCGCCGCGCCGCGCACAAUCCCAUCCGCUGCUGCCCAAGGCUUGUUUCGCGGAUUCGGAUUGGUGCUGACUCGCUCCCGAUUGGCACCGGGAGGUAUGAAUUCUCGCUAGGAUUUCGGUGGGCGGAUUGCUGACGAGGAGAGGGUUGGGGGGGAGUGGAGUUGGAUGUGAUCGGGUUGUGGGAAAUCCCUAGUUUGUGGUGUUGUGAUGGAUCAUCUGGCUAUCAUUGCGACGGAGUUGGGGGAUUCGUCGGACUUCGAGGUGGAGGGCAUCCAGAAUCUGACGGAGAAUGAUGUCAGCGACGAGGAGAUUGAGGCCGAGGAUCUGGCCCGGCGGAUGUGGAAAGACAGGAUCAAGCUGAGGAGGAUCAAGGAGAGGCAGGACAGGCUCGCCCUUGCGCUGCAGCAGGCUGAGCUGGACAAGUCCAAGGGGAAGCCGAUAUCCGAUCAGGCCAUGCGCAAGAAGAUGUCGAGGGCGCAGGACGGGAUCCUCAAGUACAUGCUCAAGCUGAUGGAGGUGUGCAACGCGCGCGGGUUCGUUUACGGGAUCAUCCCUGAUAAAGGGAAGCCCGUGAGCGGCGCUUCCGACAAUAUUAGAGCUUGGUGGAAGGAGAAGGUGAAGUUUGAUAAGAACGGGCCGGCGGCAAUCGCAAAGUAUGAGUCGGAGAACUUGGCGUCGGCUGAUGCUCCGAGCAGCGGGAUCAAGAGCCAGCACAGCUUGAUGGAUCUCCAAGACGCCACUCUCGGUUCACUGCUUUCGUCAUUGAUGCAGCACUGUGAUCCACCGCAGCGCAAGUACCCAUUGGAGAGGGGCACUCCACCCCCGUGGUGGCCUUCAGGGAACGAGGAUUGGUGGAUUGCGUUGGGCCUUCCGAGGGGGCAAAUUCCUCCGUAUAAAAAGCCACAUGAUCUUAAGAAGGUCUGGAAGGUUGGGGUGCUUACAGGUGUGAUCAAGCACAUGUCCCCAAACUUCGAUAAGAUCAGAAACCAUGUUAGGAAAUCAAAAUGCUUGCAGGAUAAGAUGACUGCAAAAGAGAGCCUGAUUUGGUUGGGUGUUCUACAGAGAGAGGAAAGGCUUGUUCUCAGCAUUGACAAUGGCAUGUCAGAGGUUACUCACCACGGUGCUCUGGAGUACAGAAAUGGGGACACACACAGCAGCAGUAAUGAGUAUGAUGUUGAUGGUUUUGAGGAGGCUCCCCUUUCAACAUCAUCUGGAGAUGAUGAACAAGAUCUUUCUCCGGCUGCACAGUUGAGCGAGGAGCAUGCCCCAACAAGGAGAGAAAGAGCUAAAGUCAAACGCCCUAAUCAGGUUGUUCCUAAGAAGGCAGGAACAAAAGAACCACCAAAGAGAAAAAGACCACGCCACAGUGUCACCGUAAUUGAGCAGGAGGUACAAAGAGCUGAUGACGCAUCAGAACAUUCAAGGAAUAUGAUUCCAGAUAUGAACCGACUGGACCAGGUAGAAAUCCAAGGCAUGGCUAACCAGAUUACAAGCUUCAAUGAGGAAGCUAAUACGAGUGAAGCUUUGCAACACAGAGGAAAUACUCAAGAACUGGCCCAUCUUCCUGCCGAUUUUAAUCACUAUGGCAAUGCGCAGGCAACAAUUGCUACUCCUGUAAGCAUAUGCAUGAGAGGCCAGGCUGUACCUUAUGAAAGCAGUGACAAUUCCAGGCCAAAAACUGGAAAUAUCUUCCCACAGGAUUCUGAUUCAGGCUUUAACAAUAUGCCUAGUAGUUACCAGACCAUACCUCCUAAGCAACCACUUCCACUAUCUAUCAUGGAGCAUCAUGUGGUUCCCUUGGGUAUCAGAACACCAGCUGACAACAGUCCUUAUAGUGAUCAAAUAAUUGGUAGUGGGAAUUCUACUUCUGUUCCUGGAGAUAUGCAGCUCAUUGAUUACCCUUUCUAUGGCGAACAAGAUAAGUUUGCUGGCAGUUCCUUUGCGGGAUUACCUUUAGACUAUAUCAGUAUCAGUAGCCCAAUCCCAGAUAUUGAUGAUUUGCUGCUGCAUGAUGAUGAUCUAAUGGAAUACUUGGGAACAUAACAUAGCAGCAGCUGCAGCUCCAUGCCUCCCAUCACAUGGCAGACCUGCUACCCGCUGGAGCAUAUGUUCAGAAUUCAGAACGACUGGAUCAGUGAAAAGCUCUGUUGAGUAGAAUAUCGACUUGCGAAACGGGAUGUCAGGCAGUAACAGUUUUGACUUCUACCGGAGAUUCUCCUUUUGGAUGCAAGUACUCUUUACGCAUGGAGAGAAGUGUACUCCCUAGGAGCUGACGGAGUUCCUGUUUCGUCGUCAUCAGGCAAAGGUUGACGGCUUCGCUAAACUGGGUCACAACUCAUGCUGCAAUUUCCAGGAGCGUCCUACCACAGGCUGCAAGUCUCCAGAUGACAUGAGCAGCAGCAACUGUAUUUUCAAAGUCUCAAAAGGAACAAUCUUUUUUUUCUAGUACACGAGAAGACGAAGAAUUUUUACAAGCCAUGAGGCUGCUGAACUGAUCGAGUUACCAUCUCGAGACUGCAAUUUCCAAGAUGUCAGAACUCCCUCGGUCCGGUCCUCCUGGUCCGAUCGACGAUCCUCCUGCCAGUCACUCGCUAGCACAUUCACUUCAAAGUUAAUGCGUCCAGUGAACGAACAAUUUAAGUCGGUCAGUCGAAACUUUUCUCCCCUGUUCCUCCAAGAAUUCAGGCCAGUUUUUUUGUAACGUGUGCACCAAUUCAAUUGGGUCCGUUGCAACAAAGGAAUUCAACGAGAAUUGAACCAAUUUCAACAAACGUACUGUUAAAUAUAAAUGUGAUUUGAAUUUUAACAUGCAAUAUAUUCAGGUUAGUUUGCUAGUAGGACUUUAGGAUUCUAUCUUGUCUCUUUAUAUAUUUUUGUUAAGCCAGACAACUCAAUGAUCAUUGUUUAUCGGCGCAGGUGGUUUUUUUUAA